AACGUAGGUUCCGAGCGUUAUCCGGAUUUACUGGGCGUAAAGCGCGUUCAGGCGGUUUGGCAAGUCGGGCAUGAAAUCUCUCGGCUCAACCGGGAGAGGUUGUCCGAUACUGCUGGACUUGAGGGCAGUAGAGGGUGGUGGAAUUCCGGGUGUAGUGGUGAAAUGCGUAGAUAUCCGGAGGAACACCAGUGGCGAAAGCGGCCGCCUGGGCUGCACCUGACGCUGACACGCGAAAGCUAGGGGAGCGAACGGG
rnacentral:rRNA from 1 species